GCCCAGAUAGCUAAGUUGGUAAAGCAUCAGACUUUUAAUCUGAGGGUUCAGGGUUCAAGUCCCUGUUCGGGCG
rnacentral:tRNA from 1 species